AUACGUAGGUGGCGAGCGUUAUCCGGAAUUAUUGGGCGUAAAGAGCGCGCAGGUGGUUGAUUAAGUCUGAUGUGAAAAGCCCACGGCUUAACCGUGGAGGGUCAUUGGAAACUGGUCGACUUGAGUGCAGAAGAGGGAAGUGGAAUUCCAUGUGUAGCGGUGAAAUGCGUAGAGAUAUGGAGGAACACCAGUGGCGAAGGCGGCUUCCUGGACUGUAACUGACACUGAGGCACGAAAGCGUGGGGAGC
rnacentral:rRNA from 1 species